UGAGGAAUAUUGGUCAAUGGGCGAGAGCCUGAACCAGCCAAGUCGCGUGAAGGAAGAAGGAUCUAUGGUUCGUAAACUUCUUUUGCAGGGGAAUAAAGUGCGGGACAUGUCCUGUUUUGUAUGUACCCUGAGAAUAAGGAUCGGCUAACUCCGUGCCAGCAGCCGCGGUAAUACGGAGGAUCCGAGCGUUAUCCGGAUUUAUUGGGUUUAAAGGGUGCGUAGGUGGUUUUAUAAGUCAGCGGUGAAAGUUUGCAGCUUAACUGUAAAAAUGCCGUUGAAACUGUAAGACUUGAGUGUAAAUGAGGUAGGAGGAAUGCGUGGUGUAGCGGUGAAAUGCAUAGAUAUCACGCAGAACUCCGAUUGUGAAGGCAGCUUACUAAGCUACAACUGACACUGAAGCACGAAAGCGUGGGGAUCAAACAGGAUU
rnacentral:rRNA from 1 species